rnacentral:rRNA from 1 species
AUACGUAGGUGGCAAGCGUUAUCCGGAUUUACUGGGUGUAAAGGGCGUGUAGGCGGUCUUGCAAGUCAGAAGUGAAAUUCCUGAGCUCAACUCGGGCGCUGCUUCUGAAACUGCAGGACUUGAGUGCUGGAGGGGAUAGCGGAAUUCCUAGUGGAGCGGUAAAAUGCGCAGAUAUUAGGAAGAACACCGGUGGCGAAGGCGGCUAUCUGGACAGUAACUGACGCUGAGGCGCGAAAGCGUGGGGAGCAAACAGGAUUAGAUACCCUGGUAGUCCACACUGUAAACGAUGAAUGCUAGGUGUAAGAGGUAUCGACCCCUUUUGUGCCGGAGUCAACACAAUAAGCAUUCCGCCUGGGGAGUACGGCCGCAAGGUUGAAACUCAAAUGAAUUGACGGGG